rnacentral:rRNA from 1 species
GACGAACGCUGGCGGCGUGCUAAACACAUGCAAGUCGAACGGAAAGGCCCUGCUUUUGUGGGGUGCUCGAGUGGCGAACGGGUGAGUAACACGUGAGUAACCUGCCCUUGACUUUGGGAUAACUUCAGGAAACUGGGGCUAAUACCGGAUAGGAGCUCCUGCUGCAUGGUGGGGGUUGGAAAGUUUCGGCGGUUGGGGAUGGACUCGCGGCUUAUCAGCUUGUUGGUGGGGUAGUGGCUUACCAAGGCUUUGACGGGUAGCCGGCCUGAGAGGGUGACCGGCCACAUUGGGACUGAGAUACGGCCCAGACUCCUACGGGAGGCAGCAGUGGGGAAUAUUGCACAAUGGGCGGAAGCCUGAUGCAGCAACGCCGCGUGCGGGAUGACGGCCUUCGGGUUGUAAACCGCUUUCGCCUGUGACGAAGCGUGAGUGACGGUAAUGGGUAAAGAAGCACCGGCUAACUACGUGCCAGCAGCCGCGGUGAUACGUAGGGUGCGAGCGUUGUCCGGAUUUAUUGGGCGUAAAGGGCUCGUAGGUGGUUGAUCGCGUCGGAAGUGUAAUCUUGGGGCUUAACCCUGAGCGUGCUUUCGAUACGGGUUGACUUGAGGAAGGUAGGGGAGAAUGGAAUUCCUGGUGGAGCGGUGGAAUGCGCAGAUAUCAGGAGGAACACCAGUGGCGAAGGCGGUUCUCUGGGCCUUUCCUGACGCUGAGGAGCGAAAGCGUGGGGAGCGAACAGGCUUAGAUACCCUGGUAGUCCACGCUGUAAACGGUGGGUACUAGGUGUGGGGUCCAUUCCACGGGUUCCGUGCCGUAGCUAACGCUUUAAGUACCCCGCCUGGGGAGUACGGCCGCAAGGCUAAAACUCAAAGGAAUUGACGGGGCCCCGCACAAGCGGCGGAGCAUGCGGAUUAAUUCGAUGCAACGCGUAGAACCUUACCUGGGUUUGACAUGGAUCGGGAGUGCUCAGAGAUGGGUGUGCCUCUUUUGGGGUCGGUUCACAGGUGGUGCAUGCCUGUCGUCAGCUCGUGUCGUGAGAUGUUGGGUUAAGUCCCGCAACGAGCGCAACCCUUGUUCACUGUUGCCAGCACGUUAUGGUGGGGACUCAGUGGAGACCGCCGGGGUCAACUCGGAGGAAGGUGGGGAUGACGUCAAGUCAUCAUGCCCCUUAUGUCCAGGGCUUCACGCAUGCUGCAAUGGCUGGUACAGAGAGUGGCGAGCCUGUGAGGGUGAGCGAAUCUCGGAAAGCCGGUCUCAGUUCGGAUUGGGGUCUGCAACUCGACCUCAUGAAGUCGGAGUCGCUAGUAAUCGCAGAUCAGCAACGCUGCGGUGAAUACGUUCCCGGGGCU